rnacentral:rRNA from 1 species
UGGGGAAUAUUGGGCAAUGGGCGAAAGCCUGACCCAGCAACGCCGCGUGAGAGAAGAAGGUCUUCGGAUUGUAAAUCUCUGUCGCAGGGGACGAAGGAAGUGACGGUACCCUGUGAGGAAGCCCCGGCUAACUACGUGCCAGCAGCCGCGGUAAUACGUAGGGGGCGAGCGUUGUCCGGAAUUACUGGGCGUAAAGGGUGCGUAGGCGGCAAUUUAAGUUGGAUGUGAAAUACCCGGGCUUAAACCUGGAGGGUGCAUUCAAAACUGGAUAGCUAGAGUGCAGGAGAGGGAAGCGGAAUUCCUAGUGUAGCGGUGAAAUGCGUAGAUAUUAGGAGGAACACCAGUGGCGAAGGCGGCUUUCUGGACUGUAACUGACGCUGAGGCACGAAAGCGUGGGGAGC